rnacentral:tRNA from 1 species
GCCUAUCUGGCUCAGUGGGAAGAGCAUGGGACUCUUGAUCUCAGGGUUGUGAGUUUGAGCCCCACGCUGGGUG